UCAGUUCUCAUUUACUUCCUCUUUUUUUUUUUCCUUUUUCUUUUCCUGUACCUUGCUUUGGUCCUUAUAAGUAUCCAAAUUGCACUAAAAUAACUUCUGCACAUAAAGCAUUAGGAAGCAGUGUUUCCCAACCACUACAUUUGAAUGAUUCAUUCCUCUGAGGACCCUCAAGUACUUCAGAAGAAUGAAAAAAUGAAUACCACGUUACACCAAAGAAGAAAUGAAAGCUGCCAGUGUCUUCUGAAGUUAAACAGGCUCCUGUUCUUUGACCCAGCAAUCCAAUCCUAGGUAUUUAAUUGUUCCCUGAGGUUUAAGACAGUGGACUGAGGAUAAUACAGGCUCCAGCUUUCAUUAGUUCAAUGGAUGAUGCUGUUCAAUCCACACUAUUUGGGGCAUUUGUUGAAAAUGUCAUUCAGAAGGUAUCAACACUUUCUAAGUCAUGGUUUGAUUGAAUUUAUAGAAUUAUGUGAUAGAAACCGCAUUCUUCACAAAAGUCACAAGGCAAUAAUGACGACAAGGGUUGAAAAUGAAAGAUGCCAAAUAUUCUGAUCAAUUCAAUGAGGCAAAAAGACAAGUUAGUUCACUCAGUGCUCCAGGCAUCAACUUCAUAGAGGGAAUGGAAAUUCUACCUGUUUCCUAAAGAACUACAGAGGACUCCAACUAAGCCACUAUGCUGGGAGCAGAGAUGGGGAAGAAUUGCUGAGUCAUGAUAAGAGAAGGCACUACAGGAAGAAAUAGUGAACUCUUACAGCUGGGCAAGCAAUGAGUCAGCCUGGGUGGUCACUCCAGAUGCUCCCAGACACAUCCCAAUUUCUGGGAUGUCUUGCUGAUAUGUACUUCUCAAGGAAAAAAAGUGGUCACUAUAUAUAUUAAACUGACAGAGGAAAAGUGGAAAUAACGUAUGUCUUAGAUCUCCAUUUUGGCGAAGACAGGCUUCAGCUAUAAAGAAUCGAAGAAUAAAAUGAGACCAACAAAGUGAAAUCAUUUCUGAACCCAGUAAAUAUUACUGCAGCACUGAUCUGCUGAACCAGCAGAGGAGUCUGAAAGAAAAAUCUGCUCAUCCCAAAUGAGUAUUUACUCUCAAUAUGAUGUGUUUCACUAGCUCCUUUCCUCUGAAGCACUUUUUUUCCCUUGCAUUGUUUUUUUUCUAAUUAUAUGUGUGGCUUUAGACAAAUUA